GUGGGUCUCGCCGAAGUUCCAGGAGCGCACAGCCUGCAGAGCUGCCCGGGCAGUCGCUGGCGUGCCAAUCACCAGGCCCGUUCC
rnacentral:tRNA from 1 species